UGCAGUCGAGCGGUAGCACAGAGAGCUUGCUCUUGGGUGACGAGCGGCGGACGGGUGAGUAACGCGUAGAAAUCUGCCUGGUAGUUGGGGAUAGCCCGGAGAAAUCCGGAUUAAUACCGAAUGUGCUCUUAGGAGGAAAGCGGGGGAUCUUCGGACCUCGCGCUACCAGAUGAGUCUGCGUAGGAUUAGCUAGUUGGUGGGGUAAAGGCUCACCAAGGCGACGAUCCUUAGCUGGUCUGAGAGGAUGAUCAGCCACACUGGGACUGAGACACGGCCCAGACUCCUACGGGAGGCAGCAGUGGGGAAUAUUGGACAAUGGGGGCAACCCUGAUCCAGCCAUGCCGCGUGUGUGAAGAAGGCCUUCGGGUUGUAAAGCACUUUCAGUGGUGAGGAAGGGUGUUGUGUUAAUAGCGCAACACAUUGACGUUAGCCACAGAAGAAGCACCGGCUAACUCCGUGCCAGCAGCCGCGGUAAUACGGAGGGUGCAAGCGUUAAUCGGAAUUACUGGGCGUAAAGCGCGCGUAGGCGGUUUGUUAAGUGAGAUGUGAAAGCCCCGGGCUCAACCUGGGAAUUGCAUCUUAUACUGGCAGGCUAGAGUAUGGUAGAGGUGGGUAGAAUUCCUGGUGUAGCGGUGAAAUGCGUAGAGAUCAGGAGGAAUACCGGUGGCGAAGGCGGCCCACUGGACCAAUACUGACGCU
rnacentral:rRNA from 1 species